UAAGAUUAGCACCUCGGCCGGUGAGGACAGGGGCAGUGGCCCUCGACACCGGGCCACCCCCCUGUGCAUGGUCCUGGUGGGAAACACAUCCUUCUCACACAACAACAGACAUCUUAUUGCUCAUUCUAACAGAGGAGAGAGAGAAAUUAGGAGCUGGCAGACAGGUAAGAGAAACAGAUCUCCUCACAUAAAAGAUAUGUUAAAGCUAAUGCUAACAGACAAAGAGUAACAGCUACUCUCUGGAGUGGAGCUGGAUAGAGAGAGAGAGACAAGGAGCCGGCAGACAGAUUUGAAACAUGCUGCUGAUCAAAGUCAGAUAUCUGGACUCCAGGAAAUUUAUCAGGCUUCAGGAUGGAUUCACUUUUGCUGACUUUGCUAACGAAGUCUACAGUAGGUUUGGCCUACCACCUGAGACAAAUCUACACAUUUAUGAUGACACUGAAACUGAAAUAGACGAGGACAUUUUACAAGAUUUUCUCAACGCGAGACCUGAUACAUCGCUCAUUAUUGUUAGAAGAGAGAAUGAAGAAAUGUUAUCAGAUGCAACAAGCUGCUCUUGGAGUGACAUUUUGUCACUUAGUCAUUCAUCAUGUGAACUUGACCAAAUGCCAGA